rnacentral:rRNA from 1 species
UGUUUCGGCAAGGGGGUCAUCCCGACUUACCAACCCGAUGCAAACUGCGAAUACCGGAGAAUGUUAUCACGGGAGACACACGGCGGGUGCUAACGUCCGUCGUGAAGAGGGAAACAACCCAGACCGCCAGCUAAGGUCCCAAAGUCAUGGUUAAGUGGGAAACGAUGUGGGAAGGCCCAGACAGCCAGGAUGUUGGCUUAGAAGCAGCCAUCAUUUAAAGAAAGCGUAAUAGCUCACUGGUCGAGUCGGCCUGCGCGGAAGAUGUAACGGGGCUAAACCAUGCACCGAAGCUGCGGCAGCGACGCUUAUGCGUUGUUGGGUAGGGGAGCGUUCUGUAAGCCUGUGAAGGUGUGCUGUGAGGCAUGCUGGAGGUAUCAGAAGUGCGAAUGCUGACAUAAGUAACGAUAAAGCGGGUGAAAAGCCCGCUCGCCGGAAGACCAAGGGUUCCUGUCCAACGUUAAUCGGGGCAGGGUGAGUCGACCCCUAAGGCGAGGCCGAAAGGCGUAGUCGAUGGGAAACAGGUUAAUAUUCCUGUACUUGGUGUUACUGCGAAGGGGGGACGGAGAAGGCUAUGUUGGCCGGGCGACGGUUGUCCCGGUUUAAGCGUGUAGGCUGGUUUUCCAGGCAAAUCCGGAAAAUCAAGGCUGAGGCGUGAUGACGAGGCACUACGGUGCUGAAGCAACAAAUGCCCUGCUUCCAGGAAAAGCCUCUAAGCAUCAGGUAACAUCAAAUCGUACCCCAAACCGACACAGGUGGUCAGGUAGAGAAUACCAAGGCGCUUGAGAGAACUCGGGUGAAGGAACUAGGCAAAAUGGUGCCGUAACUUCGGGAGAAGGCACGCUGAUAUGUAGGUGAAGUCCCUCGCGGAUGGAGCUGAAAUCAGUCGAAGAUACCAGCUGGCUGCAACUGUUUAUUAAAAACACAGCACUGUGCAAACACGAAAGUGGACGUAUACGGUGUGACGCCUGCCCGGUGCCGGAAGGUUAAUUGAUGGGGU